UGCAGUCGCACGGGUGGUUUCGGCCAUCAGUGGCGGACGGGUGAGUAACGCGUAGGAACGUGUCCAGAGGUGGGGGACAACCCCGGGAAACUGGGGCUAAUACCGCAUGGGGGCUGAGGCCCAAAGCCGAGAGGCGCCAUUGGAGCGGCCUGCGUCCGAUUAGGUAGUUGGUGGGGUAAAGGCCUACCAAGCCUGCGAUCGGUAGCUGGUCUGAGAGGACGACCAGCCACACUGGGACUGAGACACGGCCCAGACUCCUACGGGAGGCAGCAGUGGGGAAUAUUGGACAAUGGGCGAAAGCCUGAUCCAGCAAUGCCGCGUGGGUGAAGAAGGUCUUCGGAUCGUAAAGCCCUUUCGACGGGGACGAUGAUGACGGUACCCGUAGAAGAAGCUCCGGCUAACUUCGUGCCAGCAGCCGCGGUAAUACGAAGGGGGCUAGCGUUGCUCGGAAUUACUGGGCGUAAAGGGCGCGUAGGCGGCGGCCCAAGUCAGGCGUGAAAUUCCUGGGCUCAACCUGGGGACUGCGCUUGAUACUGGGUUGCUUGAGGAUGGAAGAGGCUCGUGGAAUUCCCAGUGUAGAGGUGAAAUUCGUAGAUAUUGGGAAGAACACCGGUGGCGAAAGCGGCGAGCUGGUCCAUUACUGACGCUGAG
rnacentral:rRNA from 1 species